rnacentral:misc_RNA from 1 species
GUUCAGAUUUCCUCUCGGUUAUCUGCAGGCAAACAAAUAUACUAGGAUUGAGAAUUUAAUAUAUGAAAGGUAAGACUGACCAAUAGACUUCUACAGGCCAUCAGUUCAUCACCAAAUAGGGGAGAAGUCUUCUCCAUGAAGUACCAAUAUUUCAAAUGCGGCACAAAUCCUUUCUUAUUCCCAUCAUUACUUAAUACAGGAAAUAAAACCGCUGUACACAAUUCAUCACCUCAUUCACCCAAUAACGGAUCCAAAAUAUUCCUAGUAAAGUUUAAGAUAAAGCCUGAAUAUGCAAACCAAAAACUAUAACAAGAGAAAUACUUAAAUAAACAAUUUGGGACUUAGCCGCCAAUUCAGUCAGUAUUCAAGCAAUGACAGAACCCUGCAAAAAAAGCUCAUUAUCUAGGCCAACAUUCCAACUCAGAGAACUA